rnacentral:rRNA from 1 species
UGCAUGUCUUAGCACAAGCCGAAAUAUGGUGAAGCCGCGAAUGGCUCAUUACAACAGCCUUUGUUUAUUUGAUCUUGAAAUCCUACUUGGAUAACUGUGGUAAUUCUAGAGCUAAUACACGCAAAAAAACGCGAAACGUAAGUUUCGAGUGCAUUUAUUAGUACAAAGCCAUCCGGACUCGUCCGAAAAAUGGUGAAUCUGAAUAACUUAGCCGAUCGUAUGGUCUCUGCACCGUCGACGUAUCUUUCAAGUGUCUGCCCUAUCAACUUUCGAUGGUAGUUUAUAUGACUACCAUGGUUAUAACGGGUAACGGAGAAUAAGGGUUCGACUCCGGAGAAGCAGCCUGAGAAACGGCUACUA